AGUCGAGCGGAGAUGAGGUGCUUGCACCUUAUCUUAGCGGCGGACGGGUGAGUAAUGCUUAGGAAUCUGCCUAUUAGUGGGGGACAACAUUCCGAAAGGAAUGCUAAUACCGCAUACGUCCUACGGGAGAAAGCAGGGGAUCUUCGGACCUUGCGCUAAUAGAUGAGCCUAAGUCGGAUUAGCUAGUUGGUGGGGUAAAGGCCUACCAAGGCGACGAUCUGUAGCGGGUCUGAGAGGAUGAUCCGCCACACUGGGACUGAGACACGGCCCAGACUCCUACGGGAGGCAGCAGUGGGGAAUAUUGGACAAUGGGGGGAACCCUGAUCCAGCCAUGCCGCGUGUGUGAAGAAGGCCUUAUGGUUGUAAAGCACUUUAAGCGAGGAGGAGGCUACUGAGACUAAUACUCUUGGAUAGUGGACGUUACUCGCAGAAUAAGCACCGGCUAACUCUGUGCCAGCAGCCGCGGUAAUACAGAGGGUGCGAGCGUUAAUCGGAUUUACUGGGCGUAAAGCGUGCGUAGGCGGCUUUUUAAGUCGGAUGUGAAAUCCCCGAGCUUAACUUGGGAAUUGCAUUCGAUACUGGGAAGCUAGAGUAUGGGAGAGGAUGGUAGAAUUCCAGGUGUAGCGGUGAAAUGCGUAGAGAUCUGGAGGAAUACCGAUGGCGAAGGCAGCCAUCUGGCCUAAUACUGACGCUGAGGUACGAAAGCAUGGGGAGCAAACAGGAUUAGAUACCCUGGUAGUCCAUGCCGUAAACGAUGUCUACUAGCCGUUGGGGCCUUUGAGGCUUUAGUGGCGCAGCUAACGCGAUAAGUAGACCGCCUGGGGAGUACGGUCGCAAGACUAAAACUCAAAUGAAUUGACGGGGGCCCGCACAAGCGGUGGAGCAUGUGGUUUAAUUCGAUGCAACGCG
rnacentral:rRNA from 1 species